CAUGAUGCCUAGCGAGAUCUAACGCGCAAUAUACUAUGAGUAUCUACCUAGCAUGUCUAUUUAUUUAGCCAUAGUGUAACAUGUAGGUAGUUUUAAUAAUAUACCUGUUUAAAACUUGCCCUAACUAUGGUAGUUGGUUGAUAGGUUUGCACUUCACUGUUUUGAUCGUAUACAUAAUAACGAUAACAAACGACCUCAAUUCUUAUUUGCUUAGGACCGCGAAAAUCGAAUAACUUCAGUUAGCGAUGUCUUGUUCCUGUUUUGUAUCACAUAUAUUCUACAUGAUAUAUUCAUAAUACAAUAAGUAAUAGCUGGUUUAUCGUUUACCGUCUGCGUUACCAUUAUAUUGUCGCCGUUGAGUUUUGAUUAUAUUACCAAUAUAUUAAGUUAUAUUAUCUAAACCCACAAAACGGAUCCACCGUUGCCGUGAAACAUUAUGGUUACGAUUACUAUGAUAAUCGUGAUUGACGCUCCGUAGGAGACAUGAUAUUAUUAUUUGUGUAAUUUUAUUGUUGCGCAUUAUUUUUAUAUUCCCAGUGUAGUACGAAUAAAAUGAAAAUAUGAGAAAAUUCGAAGCUUGACAGUUCCUCAUACACAUAAAUAUGAAAUGGGCCAAAGUUUAUUGAUCGACCCAUAAAAUCUGAGUUUACGCCGUAAAUAUUUUACUUGACAUUUUUGGUUACACUAACAUCAGAUUUAUCGUGUAUGAGUGAUAACCACUUAAAGUUUAAACCGGAGAAGUAGGGAAGAGUAAUCAU